rnacentral:rRNA from 1 species
UACGUAGGGCGCAAGCGUUGUCCGGAAUUAUUGGGCGUAAAGAGCUCGUAGGCGGCUUGUCACGUCGGGUGUGAAAGCCCGGGGCUUAACCCCGGGUCUGCAUUCGAUACGGGCAGGCUAGAGUGUGGUAGGGGAGAUCGGAAUUCCUGGUGUAGCGGUGAAAUGCGCAGAUAUCAGGAAGAACACCCGUGGCGAAGGCGGCUCUCUGGGACGGUACUGACGCUGAGACGCGAAAGCGUGGGGAGCGAACAGG